GUGGAGGGGAGCCACGGCCCUCGGGGUGGCGGGGCUCAGAGGGGUGCGGAUCCUGGCCAGCCGGGCGGACACUACCCGCCCCCAUGUCCUCACAGAGUCGGCACUCGGAGUGGGUGUCCUCUAGGGCCUCAUUCAUCGUGAGUGCCUCAUUUCAAGUAGCCACAUCCUGAGGUCCUGGGCCUUGCAAUCCCUGGGGACACGGUUCAGCCAUGACGGGCAGCACAUACGCCAAGUGCCCGCCAUGCCAGGCACUAAGGAUCAUGGGAUUUCCAUGACCAUCCCAUCAGGCCCAGGGCUCAUGGUCCAGCUCAGACCAGCCUCUGCCUCAGUAUGGAGGGAGCAUCACAGGCAGAGACCACAGCCCGGCCCCAGGACCAGGAGCUCGAGGCCGGGGGGGGAGCCUGCUGCUCAAGCAGGCAUGGGAGGGCUGCUGUCCUGUGAUAGUUAAUUGAUUAUAUCCACUUGCGUAAAUAACCCAACUAAAUUGGCUCAGCAUAGUUCACCCUAGGGAAGAUUAUCACCAAAAUGGGUAUAAAAGGGAAACGAAGAAGGAAGGAUGGCUUCUGUGUCUUUGGAGAAGCUCAUCUUCAACUUCACCUUGGACGUCAUCUCCUGGCUUCUCACAGACCCUUCAGCCUCCUAACAUGGACUCGCGUGGGACACUACAGUGAGCACCAGCCUUUGACUGGAUCCUUCAGAUCUCCAGUGUGCAGACAGCCCCUUUCCACUCUUCCACGCCUGACUCUGUGGGUGGCCAUUUAUCUCCUACUGAAGGGGAACAGUUGUCACAGAAGAUGAACCUAUGUGAUGUGGCAUCUUCAUCCAGCAUCCACAGGCGACAUCGGGCCCACACUUCGUGUCUGACCCUGUGGACUGAUGACAUGUGUCCACUGUUGUGGUGUUGUGCCGAGGAGUUUCACUGCCUGGAAAGUCCCCUGUGCUCCACCUGGUCAUCCUCCCUCCUCGCUCUGUAACCACCCAUUAUUUUACCUUUUCCAGAACGUUGUAUGAUUGUAACCAUACAGAAU
rnacentral:lncRNA from 1 species